UUGUGUUCUUCAUUGCUGUUGAGAUAAACUUUUACCUGGAAAAAUACUUUUCUUUGAAAAGCAAUAAAGAACCGCCUUCAUUUGGUAGCAAAUUUCCAGCUUAUUAGAAGUAUUUUAGGCAGAUGAAAAAGUAGAAUUUUUUAGCUUUUCAGCCAAAAAGUGCUUUUGGGCUGGUUGUUUUACUUUUUUAGCCACACGAACGCCCAGUACUUUCUUUGCUCUCUGCUCUCUGCUCUCUGCUGGUUCUUUGUUUCUCUGCCCUCUGCUACGCUGGUUCUUUGCCCUCAUCUCUGCCUUCUGCUGAUUCUUUGUUCUGCUCUCUGCUGGUUCUUUGUCCUCUGCUCUCUACCGGUUCUUUGUUCCUCUUCUCCACCACCGUGAUGAAGAAACUUUUAUAUCAGCCGAUGAUCUACGUAUAAAUCUUUGGAACUUGGAAAUUAGCAAUCAAAGUUUCAAUAUUGUCGAUGUAAAGCCUGCAAACAUGGAGGAUCUAACUGAGGUUAUAACAUCAGCAGAGUUUCACCCUACCCACUGUAAUAUGCUAGCAUAUAGUAGUUCAAAGGGCUCAAUUCGCCUCAUUGAUUUGCGGCAAUCAGCUUUAUGUGAUUCUCAUGCCAAAUUGCAAGUGUUUUACCGUUUUUAGUUUCUUUUGUUGAAUUUAUUGAGAUUUGCACCAAAAAUUGAACUAUUGUUAUUAUCCUAAAGUUUAGAUUUAAACAAAAUAUGUUCUAUGAAAGUGAGGCUAUUUCAUGUAUUUGGUGGGUUUUUAGAGAAUCAUAUCUCUUUACUCAUAUUUAGAUAUGUAUUGGACGCAAGUAGGAUAUAUUUCAGUUUCAGUUAAGUUGUGCUUUAUACAAUAUUAUUUGUAAUUAUACUUGUAUAACUUCUUAAAAAAAUAUUGGCCACAAGUAUUUCAAACCA